AACGGAAAGGCCCUGCUUGCAGGGUACUCGAGUGGCGAACGGGUGAGUAACACGUGGGUGAUCUGCCCUGCACUUCGGGAUAAGCUUGGGAAACUGGGUCUAAUACCGGAUAGGAACCAUCUUUAGUGCGGUGGUUGGAAAGUUUUUUCAGUGUAGGAUGAGCUCGCGGCCUAUCAGCUUGUUGGUGGGGUAAUGGCCUACCAAGGCGGCGACGGGUAGCCGGCCUGAGAGGGUGUACGGCCACAUUGGGACUGAGAUACGGCCCAGACUCCUACGGGAGGCAGCAGUGGGGAAUAUUGCACAAUGGGCGCAAGCCUGAUGCAGCGACGCCGCGUGGGGGAUGAAGGCCUUCGGGUUGUAAACUCCUUUCGCUAGGGACGAAGCUUUUUGUGACGGUACCUAGAUAAGAAGCACCGGCUAACUACGUGCCAGCAGCCGCGGUAAUACGUAGGGUGCGAGCGUUGUCCGGAAUUACUGGGCGUAAAGGGCUCGUAGGUGGUUUGUCGCGUCGUCUGUGAAAUUCUGGGGCUUAACUCCGGGCGUGCAGGCGAUACGGGCAUAACUUGAGUGCUGUAGGGGUAACUGGAAUUCCUGGUGUAGCGGUGAAAUGCGCAGAUAUCAGGAGGAACACCGAUGGCGAAGGCAGGUUACUGGGCAGUUACUGACGC
rnacentral:rRNA from 1 species